UACGCAGGGGGCUAGCGUUGUUCGGAAUUACUGGGCGUAAAGCGCGUGUAGGCGGGUAUGUAAGUCAGUGGUGAAAUCCCCGAGCUUAACUCGGGAACUGCCAUUGAUACUAUAUAUCUUGAAUAUCCUGGAGGUCUGCGGAAUAUGUCAUGUAGCGGUGAAAUGCUUAGAGAUGACAUAGAACAUCGAUUGCGAAGGCAGCAGGCUACGGGAUGAUUGACGCUGAGGCACGAAAGCGUGGGGAUCAAACAGG
rnacentral:rRNA from 1 species